rnacentral:snoRNA from 1 species
AAGACCUUACUUCAUAGGAUCAUUUCUAUAGUAAGCUCUUCACGAGACUCACACAACAUGUGAGACCUAUCCAGCCAUGUUGAUGAGGCGUGGCGCGACGUCCUGAGCGUGAGGCGGACGGUGACCGUCGGUCAUCAGUCCUCGAUGAUCGUUCACCUGGGCCUUUCGGGGUCUGGGCGUGGGACGUUGUCGCUAUCUGAGUGGC